CCUACGGGUGGCAGCAGUGAGGAAUAUUGGUCAAUGGGCUUACGCCUGAACCAGCCAAGUCGCGUGAGGGAAGACUGCCCUAUGGGUUGUAAACCUCUUUUGUCAGGGAGCAACGCCGGCUACGUUUAGCCGGACUGAGAGUACCUGAAGAAAAAGCAUCGGCUAACUCCGUCCCAGCAGCCGCGGUAAGACGAGGGGUGCGAGCGUUAUCCGUAUUUUUUGGGUUUAAAGGUUGCGUAGGCGGAAUGCCAAGUCAGCGGUAAAAUCGCGGGGCUCAACCUCGCUCCGCCGUUGAAACUGGCGAUCUUGAGUGGGCGAGAAGUAUGCGGAAUGCGUGGUGUAGCGGUGAAAUGCAUAGAUAUCACGCAGAACUCCGAUUGCGAAGGCAGCAUACCGGCGCCCAACUGACGCUGAAGCACGAAAGUGUGGGUAUCGAACAGGAUUAGAUACCCUGGUAGUC
rnacentral:rRNA from 1 species